rnacentral:rRNA from 1 species
AUUGAACGCUGGCGGCAUGCCUUACACAUGCAAGUCGAACGGUAGAGGGGCAACCCUCGAGAGUGGCGAACGGGUGAGUAAUGCAUCGGAACGUGCCCAGUCGUGGGGGAUAACGUAGCGAAAGCUACGCUAAUACCGCAUACGACCCGAGGGUGAAAGCGGGGGACUCGCAAGGGCCUCGCGCGAUUGGAGCGGCCGAUGUCAGAUUAGGUAGUUGGUGGGGUAAAGGCCUACCAAGCCGACGAUCUGUAGCUGGUCUGAGAGGACGACCAGCCACACUCGGACUGAGACACGGCCCAGACUCCUACGGGAGGCAGCAGUGGGGAAUUUUGGACAAUGGGCGCAAGCCUGAUCCAGCCAUGCCGCGUGCGGGAAGAAGGCCUUCGGGUUGUAAACCGCUUUUGUCAGGGAAGAAAUCUUCUGGGUUAAUACCUCGGGAGGAUGACGGUACCUGGAGAAUAAGCACCGGCUAACUACGUGCCAGCAGCCGCAGUAA